GGAAUAUUGGACAAUGGAGGCAACUCUGAUCCAGCCAUGCCGCGUGAGUGAAGAAGGCCUUAGGGUUGUAAAGCUCUUUCGGUGGUGACGAUGAUGAAGGUAGCAACAGAAGAAGCCCCGGCUAACUCCGUGCCAGCAGCAGCGGUAAUACGGAGGGGGCAAGCGUUGUUCGGAAUUACUGGGCGUAAAGGGCGCGUAGGCGGGCGAUCAAGUCAGAGGUGAAAGCCCUGGGCUCAACCCGGGAGGUGCCUUUGAAACUGAUGGUCUGGAGUUCGGGAGAGGAUGGCGGAAUUCCCAGUGUAGAGGUGAAAUUCGAAGAUAUUGGGAAGAACACCGGUGGCGAAGGCGGCCAUCUGGCCCGGAACUGACGCUGAGGCGCGAAAGCGUGGGGAGCAAAC
rnacentral:rRNA from 1 species